CCACUCUGCCACACUGCCACUCCACUCUGCUCGUGCUCGGGCUCGGUCUCUGGUGGCUGCUGCUGCCUGGCAGCCUUUUGAGCGAAGGAUUUCAUAAUCCGCUGCAUUUGUCCCACCGAUUAUGCAAUUUGGCCGGCUUUUGCGCCGCGCUCUGUUCAAUUCAGGAAGUCAUUUGCCCAACGUAUUAAGGCCAUUGUACAAAUAAAUGUUUAUUUAAAUUAGGCACUCGACAAAUAAACCCAGUAAGAAAAUACGAAAAUGGCCAAAAAAACAACAAAAUAAACGGUAGCAUUUUGGUAUUUGAUUUUCACUUUCUAUUUGCUGUCUGGCCUAACACCGAGGGCGCUCCACCGCAGAGGGCGAGGCCGAAGCUUGUGUGGCUGUGUC